AGUGAAUGCUGGCGGUAGGCCUAACACAUGCAAGUCGAACGGCAGCACAGUAAGAGCUUGCUCUUACGGGUGGCGAGUGGCGGACGGGUGAGGAAUACAUCGGAAUCUACUUUUUCGUGGGGGAUAACGUAGGGAAACUUACGCUAAUACCGCAUACGACCUACGGGUGAAAGCAGGGGAUCUUCGGACCUUGCGCGAUUGAAUGAGCCGAUGUCGGAUUAGCUAGUUGGCGGGGUAAAGGCCCACCAAGGCGACGACCGUAGCUGGUCUGAGAGGAUGAUCAGCCACACUGGAACUGAGACACGGUCCAGACUCCUACGGGAGGCAGCAGUGGGGAAUAUUGGACAAUGGGCGCAAGCCUGAUCCAGCCAUACCGCGUGGGUGAAGAAGGCCUUCGGGUUGUAAAGCCCUUUUGUUGGGAAAGAAAAGCAGCAGGUUAAUACCCCGCUGUUCUGACGGUACCCAAAGAAUAAGCACCGGCUAACUUCGUG
rnacentral:rRNA from 1 species